AUGUGGGGCUGGAGGAGUCAAUUAUGGAGCUGGAGGACCGGGCUGUGGGGCGGGAGGACCGGGCUGUGGGGCGGGAGGACCGGGCUGUGGGGCAGGAGGACUGGCAUGUGGGGCUGGAGGACUCACUUCUGCAUCUUAAGCACUCGCUCGUUGGGCUGGAGGACUCGGGAGCAGCCUUGGAGGACCUUGGAUGUGGGGCUGGAGGACUUGGAUGUGCGGCUGGAGGAGCUCAGUGUGGCGCUGGAGGACUCACUUGUGGGGCUGGAGGACUCACUUGUGGGGCUGGAGGACUCACUUGUGGGGCUGGAGGACUCACUUGUGGGGCUCAGGGCUUUCUUCCAUUUGCUGCUUCCCAUUCUCUUCCUUUCCCCCCUCGUCCCCCAUUCCUUUCUCUCUUUCCCCUUCGUCCCCUCUCCCUCCCAUCCCAGCCCCCGUUUCCCCCAUCCCAGUUCCCUCUUUCCUCCCCCGUCCUUUUUUCCUCCCGUCCCAAUUCCCUUUUCCUCUCCCCCGUCCUUCCAUCUCCUUUCUUCUAUUCCAGUUCAUUGCUGGCUCUCCUCGUGCCCUUUUUCCCCCGCUCAAUUCCUUUUUCCCCGCUCUCCUCCUUCCCUUUUCCCACUCUCAAUUCCCUGUUUCCCGCUCCCCUCUUUUCCGAUUUCCCGGUCUCCUCCUUCCUCUUUUCCCCUUGGCAGUUUCCCNNNNNNNNNNNNNNNNNNNNNNNNCUGUUUCCCCCCUGGCAGUUUCCCCUGUUUCCCCCCUGGCAGUUUCCCCUUUUCCCCUGGCAGUCCCCCUUUUCCCUUGCUCUCCUCUUCCUUUUUCCCCUUGGCAAUUCCUUCCUUCUUCUUUUCAGCUUGGCAAUUCCUUUCCCCUCUGAGGGACUGGGCUGUGGGGCUGGAGGACUCACUUGUGGGGCUGAGGGCUGAAUUAUGGAGCUGGAGGACUGGGAUGUGGGGCAGGAGGACCUCGGCUGUGGGGCUGGAGGACUCACUUAACAGGUUGGAGGACCGUGGUGUGGGGCUGGAGGACUCAGUUAGGGUGCCGGAGGACUUGGAUGUGGGGCUGGCGGACUCGCUUCUGGAGUAG
rnacentral:lncRNA from 1 species